GGCUUUAUAGUCAAUAAAAUGAUAUCAGACUGCAAUUCUGAAGUAGCAGCGUGCUAAAGCUU
rnacentral:tRNA from 1 species